UACGUAGGGUGCGAGCGUUAAUCGGAAUUACUGGGCGUAAAGCGUGCGCAGGCGGUUUUGUAAGCCAGAUGUGAAAUCCCCGGGCUUAACCUGGGAAUGGCAUUUGGGACUGCAAGGCUGGAGUUUGGCAGAGGAGACUGGAAUUCCCGGUGCAGCAGUGAAAUGCGCAGAUAUCGGGAGGAACACCGGUGGCGAAGGCGGUUCUCUGGGCCUGACCUGACGCUGAGGAGCGAAAGCGUGGGGAGCGAACAGG
rnacentral:rRNA from 1 species